rnacentral:tRNA from 1 species
GGGGGUAUAGCUCAGUGGAACAGCAUUCGACUGCAGAUCGAGAGAUCCCGGUUCAAACCCGGAUGCUCUCU